rnacentral:rRNA from 1 species
CCUACGGGAGGCAGCAGCAGGAAAUCUUGCGCAAUGGGCGAAAGCCUGACGCAGCGACACCGCGUGGGGGAUGAAGGCCUUCGGGUUGUAAACCCCUUUCAGGAGGGAAGAAAUUGACGGUACCUCCACAAGAAGGACCGGCCAACUACGUGCCAGCAGCCGCGGUAAUACGUAGGGUCCGAGCGUUAUCCGGAAUCAUUGGGCGUAAAGAGCUCGUAGGCGGUUCAGCAAGUCGGCUGUGAAAGUUCGAGGCUCAACCUCGAAAUUGCAGUCGAUACUGCUGUGACUCGAGUCCGGUAGAGGAGAAUGGAAUUCCCGGUGUAGCGGUGAAAUGCGCAGAUAUCGGGAGGAACACCAGUAGCGAAGGCGGUUCUCUGGGCCGGUACUGACGCUGAGGAGCGAAAGCGUGGGGAGCAAACAGGAUUAGAUACCCUGGUAGUCCACGCCGUAAACGUUGGACACUAGGUGUGGCGGUCUACCAACGACUGCCGUGCCGAAGCUAACGCAUUAAGUGUCCCGCCUGGGGAGUACGGCCGCAAGGCUAAAACUCAAAGGAAUUGACGG